AGUGAGUCAGAGCAAGGGGCGUUGAGCUUAAUAUAUUUGCCUGAGACGCAGCUCCUUCCCACUCCCCAUCGGCAGACAGAGCAGAUUCCUUCCGGUCUAGUGAACCAAGCAACAAGCCAUGAAGACCUUGAGCCUUCUCGUCCUGGUCGUCGUCGCCAUCGCCAUCGCGGCAGAAAUCCCCUCUGAGGCUGAUGGAGGAAUGGACAACAGACCUGGGAUGAAGGACAUGCGUGCUGAUGGUGUGGUGAUCCAGGUCCAUCAGAGCGUUGACUCCGGUGGCUGUUGCGGGGAAAAGAUGAAGGAUAAAGAUGAUAAAGAUGAUGAAGAUGAUAAAGAUGAGAUGGAUGACAGCGGUGAGAAGGAUGGUCCAGCACUCCCUGAGGAAAGGUAGACGCAUCACCAGAGGCUCCUGUGAAAAGAAAGAAGAAGAACGCGACGAACAUGACCACAGAGAGUACGGAAAUGAACAAAGAUUUAGGCCAAGAUUGUUUACGUUCCAUUACGUUUACGUUACAUUAUCGUUGAGGAAUUUCCUGGCACCCGGAUGUUAAAACCGUGAAGCCCAAGCAACGACCAGGCUUUGUUUUAUUUAUUUAUUUUCACUAUUAUUAUUAUUAUCAUUUUGAAGGAUAUAUAUAAUAAAUGAUCAUAUCGCUCCCAAAAUUUACUAUAAAAGAAAAGUCUACUUUUUUUGUUAAAGAAUGUUCAAAUAUAUAUUAAUUUCAUUGUAUAAGCUCCUCCCAAGCUACUUUAUCACUGAUUGGCAAUAAACCGGCACAAUUUA